UACGUAGGCAGCGAGCGUUGGUCGGAGUUACUGGGCGUAAAGGGGGUGUAGGCGGUUCUCUAAGUUUGGGGGGAAAUCUCCCGGCUCAACCGGGAGGGUGCGCCGAAAACUGCAGGGCUAGAGUCCUGGAGAGGAAGGUGGAAUGCUUGGUGUAGAGGUGAAAUUCGUAGAUAUCAAGCGGAACACCGGUGGCGAAGGCGGCCUUCUGGACAGUGACUGACGCUGAGACGCGAAAGCGUGGGGAGCAAACAGG
rnacentral:rRNA from 1 species